rnacentral:ncRNA from 1 species
AAUUUGAUUUGGUUUAAAAGAAAAAACUUCUAGUUUUUUUAUACAAUUUUUAUAAAAUCUUUUGUAGAAAAUUUAUUUUAUUUAAUAAUAAAAAAUUAUUAAGAAUUAGAAAAGUAAUCUAGCUAAAUUUGUGCCAGCAGCAGCGGUUAAACAAAUAGAAUAAUUCUUCUUUUAAUAAAAUUUAAAAGAAAAAUAAAAUUUUUGUUAAAAAUUAAGGUGAAAUUUAUUUUUAAAAUUAUUUAAGAUAAAAUUAUAAUUCUUAUAAUAAACUAGGAUUAGAUACCCUAUUAUUUAAGAGCUGAAUAUUGUUAGUAUAUAAAGAUUAUGAAAGCAAAAAGUUAUGGCGGUAUUUUAAGCUUUUCAGAGGAAUUUGCUCUUUAAUGGAUAAAACACCAAAAUCUCACUUAAAUUUGUCAAAUCAACUUGUAUACCACUAUUAAAACAAUUAUUAACUCUAAUUGUUAAUAUUUAAAAUUUUAUAAUUAAUUAAAAUUAAGUCAAGGUGCAGUAAAAAUUUAAGAAUGAAGUGAAUUACAUUACUUUUAAGGGAAAUAAAAUUAAAUAAAUAUUAGGAUUUGAAAGUAAAAUUAAAAUAGAAUGUUAAUUUGAAUUAAGCUCUAAAAUAUGUACAUAUCGCCCGUCACUCUUUUUUAAGAUAAGUCGUAACAAAGUUAAAAUACUGGAAAGUGUUUU